UUUUUUGAAGAUUUCAUCAUUGGCUUAUGGAAAAGCGAACCAUCAAUAAAUUUUCCAUUUUCAAAGACAAUUUCCCUAAUGUUCCUUUUUUUUCUUGGAUUCACAUCUGAUUCAUUGGUAACGAGAUUCAAAAAGGUAGCAAAGUUGAGGUAUUGACCGAGGAGAUUCCAACUGGUGCUUUGCUUUCUGUUGAGAUUAUCUCUGGUAAUGGCCAUACGUAUGGCGUGAAUGCAGUUGGUCUCGGUUUCUGAACACUGAAGAGGCAUCGGCUAUGGGGAGAGCCCCUAGUAAAGCGAUUAGGCCUUGCUGCCCUUCUAUAAAUGGAAACGCUAAUUGGGUUCAUGGUGGUGCUGUAGAGGUAGUGGACAAGUUUUCUGUUAGGAUUCUUGGAUCAAGUAGCAAACUAAGCACAUCAAUCUCGACUGCCUGUUUUACAAUCUUGGGAAGAUGGCAAUAGGAUUCUGGUUGGAAGGUAAAUCCUUUUGAUUCUUGUUUUUUGAAGGAUAGUUCUAAUAUUGCUCUUCAUUAGAUGUAACUGAUUCUUGCCUUAAUUAUUAUUUUCUACCUCAUGAUUAUCAUAUCCCACUGGGCCACUGAGGAGGAAAAGAUCUUACUUGGCUUCUCCAUUGUGGUGCGCAAAAGAAGAGGGUGCUUGAGGAACGUAGUAAUGGUGUUCAAAAGAUAGUACUUCGGCUUCCUUUGUGUGCUUGCGUUUGUUUCCCCAAAUAAUAUACUUCGUGAAAGAUGUGUCCCGUUCUUCCUUUAAUAGAAUUGAUGAUACCAUGAGUAGUGUUAUGUUUUACUCUAAUUAACUCUAGAGUUCCAAUUUUGUAAUUGCUUUAAUAGUUUCUUUUCCUGUCUUCAUAAUUGAGGCCUUCGUUCUUUAUGCAAUUUUUUUCC
rnacentral:lncRNA from 1 species